rnacentral:rRNA from 1 species
AUUGAACGCUGGCGGCAGGCCUAACACAUGCAAGUCGAACGAGUGGCGGACGGGUGAGUAAUGUCUUGGAAACUGCCUGAUGGAGGGGGAUAACUACUGGAAACGGUAGCUAAUACCGCAUACCCUCAGAUGUGCCCCGAUGGGAUUAGCUAGUUGGGGGGGUAACGGCUCACCAAGGCGACGAUCCCUAGCGGGUCUGAGAGGAUGACAAGCAACACUGGAACUGAGACACGGUCCAGACGCCUACGGGAGGCAGCAGUGGGGAAUAUUGCACAAUGGGCGCAAGCCUGAUGCAGCCAUGCAGCGUGUAUGAAGAAGGCCUUCGGGUUGUAAAGUACUUUCAGCGGGGAGGCGUUACCCGCAGAAGAAGCACCGGCUAACUCCGUGCCAGCCGCCGCGGUAAUAC